rnacentral:rRNA from 1 species
UACGUAGGGCGCAAGCGUUGUCCGGAAUUAUUGGGCGUAAAGAGCUCGUAGGCGGCCUGUUGCGUCCGCUGUGAAAUCCCGGGGCUCAACCCCGGGCCUGCAGUGGAUACGGGCUGGCUAGAGGCAGGCAGGGGAGAACGGAAUUCCUGGUGUAGCGGUGAAAUGCGUAGAUAUCAGGAGGAACACCUGUGGCGAAAGCGGCUCACUGGACCACAACUGACGCUGAUGCGCGAAAGCUAGGGGAGCAAACAGG